GCCGCGGAGAGACCCCACUCCCUGUCCCCGCACUGGGCGGGCGCCUCGCCUGCGCUGAGGAAAACAAGGAUUGAUCAAACUAGAAAGGAAUUUUUCUCAACUGCUAAUGAACAGGAGGCUCGGCUCCCGGCCCUCCCCUCCCCCCGCCCGGCCCUCCCCCUUCGCCCCCCCACCCCACCCCUCCCCCCCACUUUCUUUUCUUCUCGGCCUCUGCUCCGGCCUGGAAGGCUCCGGGCUGCGGUCGGAGCCAGCCUGCGGCGGCGGCGGCGGGGCCAGGCCGAGCCAGCCGGGCCGGGUGCGUCCUCAGCGCCCAGCCAUCUUGAGCUCCCAGCGGCCGCGGUGGGGACUGGGGGUCCGGGCGCGCGCUUGAGGGUCCUGUAGCUCGCUUUUCCACCCUCCCUUUGGUGGGAUUUUUUUUUUCCUCCAAGGGGAGGGCUGGUGGUCUCCAACAAAUUAGGAGAGAGAGAAGGAGAAAAAUGCCAAGUCUUGAUUUCUCUCUACCUCUGCUCCACCCAUCCCGAUCCUUUCCAAAAAAAAAAAAAAAAUCUUUUAAAAAGAUUAAAAUUGGAAGAAGUCGGCAGAACGACGAGCGCCUGCUGCCCCCAGCGCUGCCCGGGAGACGCGUCCGGGGCGGGCCCGCGCCCGUCGCUCUGUCCGUGGGUCCGUUUGUCCUCCCGCAGCUUCUCAAGUGAGGGGAGGGCGGGCACUCCGGGCAGGGUCUCCGCUGCGGCUGUCGCUUCAGAGCUUUAUCCUUAGAUCAAAAAAAAAAAAAAAAAAAAAGAAAAAAAAAAGAAAGAAAAAAGAAAAAAAAAGGGGGGAGAGGAAGAAACCACCCCCCAGCCCGAACACUCAUCACAGCCACCUUCAGCCAUCUUGCGUGUAUUAUUUCAAGAAUAAUCUGUUUAAUAGAAAUAGCUGCGUCUCUGGCCCCCUUCUCCGCAUCCUGGGGUCCCGCCCCCUUUUAAUAAUAAUCUCGAUAAUAAAAAUGAUCAGCGGGCCGGGCAGUUAGAAGCUGCUUUUUUUCUGUCUCAGGUCUCUCCGCUUUCUUCCCUCUAAGAAGGGACACUAGGGGCUCACGCUGGGGUUGGGGGUGCGGCCCGCCGGUCCCCGCCACCAGCGCAGCGAGGAAGGGCCUCUCUCGCCUCUGCCUGGAGCAGCACGGGUGGGGGAGAGCCUCGGCCCGCGGGACCCACUGACGGGGCACACUGGGCACACUGUCUCCGGCCCCGGUUCGCAGCUGCCCCGCAUACAAUGGGUUCGAAGCAGAGUGAAGAGGGCAAGAUGGGGGCGGGAGAAGGCAGGAGGAUUGCGGCGCUCGGGGCUCCCGGAUAAGGGCGAUAGAAGAGGAGGGGGGAAGGGGUGUCCCUACAUCAAGGCUGGUCCCGCUACUCGGAAAGGGGGCGGGGAGACGGGCGUUGGGGGGGGGAGGGGAGGGGCGUACUUUCCGGAAGUGCUGUUACAGAUGCUUUGAUUCUUGGCCCCGCCCCUUUCCCCUGUCUGGAAUUAGGGCUGUUCCUGAAACGGCUUAGGCUAUUGGUCCCUAAGGCGAGACCCCUCCUCUUUGAGGCGUGGCGAACUUCGUGCUCUCACGUGACUUGCACUAACUUCGGUACAUUAAACAUUGGGUGAUGAGGGAGGGGCUCUAGCCCAGCUCCUUAAAACGGCAAUAAUGCUGCCAGGCUGUGGGACCAUUUUUUUUUUCUGGGCCUCUUCAGCUAUAGCUCUUUUUACUUGAGAGGAAAGAAGGGGUUUGUCAAUCAGUCUGCUCAAAUGUCUAGAGAAAUUGAGCAGGAAAUUGCCAAGGUUCAGCAUGGAGCCGGAUCUCUGAGAUACUUUCCCCUACAUCUCUGAAGCUUAAAACUACCUGCUAGCAAUCCCUUUUCCUAUUCAAAAGACGCUUAAAGAACUGUGAAAUAUCUAGGGUUUGUUGGUCAGUCAAUGAAUAUACAGUAUAACAAAGACCUGUUAUAUCAGAGGCAUUUUUCUAGGUCUGGGGAAUUGUCUGGAAAGCUACGUUGUUUUUUUUUUUUUUUUUUUUUUUUAAUUUUAAAUAUAGGAUAAUUUCUGAGAGUAAGAGGCAUACGCAAAGGCUCUAAGUAAAAGUAACAUUUGACCCAGACCUGAAUGCAUACCAAAAAUCAUGAAGGAGCAUCCUGGGAAGCAGGGCUCUCAUCUAAAGGCAAAAACAAAUGCACAAACUUGUACCUGGACAGAAAGAAGGCAUCACGGGAGGGAGAGAAACAGGUAGGGACCAGAACAUACAGGGCAUUACCUGUCACAGUCACAGCAAGUCAUUUGGACUCUAAGCUGGUUGUGAGCCAUUGGGUUUGCUAUAUAUUGGAAAGAGAGCCAACAGAACUUGUUUUUGGAUUAGCUAUGGGGCAGAAAUAAAUCCACAUAAUAACACCAACAACAAAAGAGGCUAGGAAUAGAAUCAAGAUGUGCUUACCUUUCUAUGUAUAUCCUGUUAAAUAUAUAAAUAUGUUUAUUGCCUCUAUUAUCUUGCACAAUGUUUUAUUUAGUUUAUGGUGGAGGCAACUGAGCCCAAAGCCUUGGCCAAACUAUAUGUGUGUGGACUGGUGUGUGGACACAUUUGAGUUCACCCACACAGGCUGGAGCACAGCCUUGUCUGGGGGUUGUUCUUCAGGUAUGUCUACCUUUCGGAGACCCUGCCUCUCACUGGUCUGUCUCCACUUCCCCUACAAGGGACUCAUUAAUGCCACACACUGCUGCCUUGCCUGGCUUUUUACAUAAACUCUGGGGAUUCUACUCUGCCAGGUUAGGCUAUCUUGCAAGCCCCAAGUCCUUUUUAAAUUUAUUAAUUAAACCAUAUAAUACGGAUACAUAGCUAUGCUGACUAGUUCUAUGUCAACUUGACAUAAGCUAGAGUUGGUUUGAAAGAGAAAAUCUCAAUUGAGAAAAUGCCCCCUCCACAUUGGGCUAUAGACAACCCUGUGGGGCAUUUUCUUGAUUGAUGAUUGAUAUGAGAGGAGUCACGGUGGCGGCGACAUCCCUGCCUGCACAGGUGGUACUGGAUUCUAUAAGAAAGUAGGCUGAGCACACCAGAAACCAGCUUCCCUCCACAGCUUCUACUAUAUCUGUUCCUGCCUCCAAGUUCUUUCUUGAGUUCUGUCUUGACUUCCCUGGAUGAUAGAAGCUGUAAAAUGAAAUAAACCCUUUCUUCCCCAAGUUGGUUUUGGUCAGGAUGUUUCAUCACAGCAAUAGAAACCUGAACCAAAACAAUAUUCAUAGUGUCUAAUAUGAUACCUCGUUGACACAUAUGUACAAUGUGUAAUGACAUCUUUUUUUCUGGGGCUGGGUAUGGAUUAAACCCAGACUCACUAGGAUGUUAAAUACUUCAUCACUGAACUAUAUUCAUCCAUGUUGUGUGUGUGUGUGUGUGUGUGUGUGAGCAUGCUUGUGCCCAGCUGCAAUAGUUUCUUGUGGAGGCCCGACUUCUGUCAACCAUUUAAAAACAGUUUCGCCAGGCGUGGUGACGCACACCUUUAAUCCCAGCACUCGGGAGGCAGAAGCAGGCAGAUUUCUAAGUUCGAGGACAGCCAGGGCUACACAGAAAAACCCUGUCUCGAAAAAAAACAACAAAACCAAAACCAAACCAAACCAAACCAAAACAAAACAAAACAAAACAAAACAAAACAAAACACCAAGAAACUACUUACUAAGAAACAGGAGAAUGGAUGAGCAUUCUGUUCUGGUAGAGACUUGAUUGGCUCAGCUAUCUAAAGGCGAUGUUUCAGGGGCACAUCUAUAGACAGGCUCAGUAGGGAAGUAUGUACUAGGUGUAUAGACUUCAGAGACUUAUUUUAAAUUGUAGAACUAAGUUCCAAAUCCAGUUCAAUGUGAAUUCUGGGUCCUUGAUCUUUUGAGUAUCAAAGACAGCACCGGUUUUUACUACUUUGCCACCCUUCUGUGAGAGGCCUUAUGGUGGACAAAGGACUACAUGAGUUAAUUCAUAUGCAUGUCUGAUUGAACAAUGUGAAAAUGGCCCCUAAGCUCUGUUUGCUAGAGGCAGGUGGAGGGUGUGUCUCUGGCCAUUUCAUCAGUGACCUAGGGACCAAUUGAAAGGAUUCUUCUCACUUCUCCAACAUGGCUUGGAAGACAUCAGGCUCUUCUCGUUCUCAACUCAGUAUUUCCCAAGCUGGGGAUGUUGACAGUUCUGAGAGUCUGACUCUCCAUCCUCCCCUUUCCUAACUGCCCCUCUCCUUUGCUCAUGAGCCUUUAUUUCUGUCCAGAUGCUGAUCUCUCCGGUGAACAUCUCCGGACUGUUAAUGAGUGACCUCCAGCUUGCAGAUCCACAUAGCUCCCCACCCAAGUAUCUCUCAGGCACUUUGAGUCCCAUGGGUUAGACAUUAAGCUGCUCUUCUUCUCCCACUGCAGCUUGGUCCUGCUCCUGUGUUUAACACAGCCAGGUAGGAGAGACAUAACCCAGACUCUCUAUCUUUAACUGUCGCAUCUAUGCAGUGAGCAUCAGGACUGAAGCAAGAUCUUACUCUUCAGUCUCAGAUCACUCAUGGCUAUACCAGAUUUUCACAUGCCUUUUUCUUUGUUUUUC
rnacentral:lncRNA from 1 species